GUUACUACAAGCUGGUUGGAACCAGACUGUAUUGGCCCAGGGACUGACUGUCCACAGUAUCGUCCUAUGAUGGGUGAUCCAGGGGAGUCACCAUUCCUGACAGUGACCGAGUCUGACGUGCAAGUUGGAUGGUUCUCCACACUAAAGUCACUAAAUGUGAGCUGCAGAAGAGAAAAGGCAUGAUGAGUCCCCAUGAGCUGAAACGGAGUCACCCUAAAAGGAGUCACCCUAAAAGGAGUCACCCUAAAAGGAGUCACCCUGCCUCCAGGCAGCAAGUUUUCUACAGAAGAUUUGAUUUCCUUGAGAAGCUUGGUUCAUCAGUGAUGCCUUGAUCCUUUUGUAUCAUGAAAAAAAGAUGAAAGAUGUCUUUGAGGAUAAUUUCCCAAAUAGCCCCAUGUGCUUCUCUUCAUUGGUAUGCUGUGGAGGGUUUUUAAACUUCUAAGGCCUAAAAAGAAUUGAACCACCUUCUGUGAAUCCUUCUGGUUCUGGGAACUACUGGCAGUCUGACCACACUGAGCUUAGUCUCGUAGGACCAGUGGAGCACACUGAUAAGACAGAGACUCUCCAGAACCAAACUCGAGUGAACCUCCCAUACAGGAAACCUGAGACAGGAGGCUUUCCUUGCUAAGGACCUGCUUCACUCAUAGUUCAUAGGUCAUGCUUCCUAUAUGGGAACACAGGAUUUCAGCAUUGUACUGACAAAGCUCCUUUGUAUCUUCUGUACUGAAAUAGUAGCCAUUUGACUCCUGCUGUUGUCCAAGAAUAAGAAGACUAUGCACAUAAAUGAGAAAGCGUGUUAUUUCAUUGAACUAACCUACUCGAAACUCGAGGACAUCAAAUGUACAGUCUUGAUGACUUUCGAGGGAAAGUCCUAGAAAAUGGAUACUUAUGGAUGAAUUUUCCCGAUUUGGAUUACUGAGAGUCCAUUCACAGUCUAGAUUUCUCGCGUAAUCACGGAUUCCAUUAUAGCCAGGAGAAGAAAAGUUUCCACCAGAGACACUUGGAAGAGUUCCACCACACACUAAGGCAA